GAUCAUGGCUCAGAACGAACGCUGGCGGCGUGGAUAAGACAUGCAAGUCGAACGAGAGAAUUGCUAGCUUGCUAAUAAUUCUCUAGUGGCGCACGGGUGAGUAACACGUGAGUAACCUGCCCCCGAGAGCGGGAUAGCUCUGGGAAACUGGGAUUAAUACCGCAUAGUAUCGAAAGAUUAAAGCAGCAAUGCGCUUGGGGAUGGGCUCGCGGCCUAUUAGUUAGUUGGUGAGG
rnacentral:rRNA from 1 species